CAUUAAACCAUGAAUAACAUUAGGUGUUUAACCCAUGAAUAACAGUAGGUGUAUAAACCAUUAAACCAUGAAUAACAGUAGGUGUUUAACCCAUGAAUAACAGGUGUAUAAACCAUUAAACCAUGAAUAACAGUUGGUGUAUAAACCAUUAAACCAUGAAUAACAGUAGGUGUUUAAACCAUGAAUAACAGGUGUAUAAACCAUUAAACCAUGAAUAACAGGAGGUGUUUAAACCAUGAAUAACAGUAGGUGUAUAAACCAUUAAACCAUGAAUAACAGUAGGUGUAUAAACCAUUAAACCAUGAAUAACAGGUGUAUAAACCAUUAAACCAUGAAUAACAUUAGGUGUAUAAACCACUAAACCAAAGAUUCAGUGCAAUCAAAAAAUGAAACUGAGUACAAAAGAGAAAUGUUUCACAAACUGGAGAUGACAGAAAGUCACUUGUCUAUUUAGGUUUAUGUUGUUCAGUGGUUUGGCUUGCACAAGGGUGGUAACUGCGGACAGAUGGUAUGAGGCAAAUAAGCAGCUGCUUCAGCCAACCCAAAGGGGUUUUCAGUUCUUUGAAGAGUUUUCCUUGGGGGACAUAUAUGUUUUUUAUGCUGUUGAAAAUGUACUGUGAAAGUUGAAACAAUGUUUUAAUACAAAUAUUGUAGAAUAAAAAAUACUCUUUAUUCUUUAUUUGUUACACAGCCUCCAACCACCCAGAGUUAUUUCCUACCUCUUCUGAAAAAAACUGAAAGUACGCAUCGCCAUGUCUGGAAACUGAUGUAUGAUUGUUGUGUUUCACGCUGUGAUUCUAAAUUUGUAAAGCAACACAUUGCAUCUGCAUGUAUGAUACAUUGUAUAUGUCUUUAUGAAAGUGUAAUGUA